rnacentral:rRNA from 1 species
UACGGAGGGUGCAAGCGUUAUCCGGAUUCACUGGGGUUAAAGGGUGCGUAGGCGGGUAUGUAAGUCAGCGGUGAAAUCCCCGAGCUUAACUUGGGAACUGCCGUUGAUACUAUAUAUCUUGAAUGUCGUGGAGGUUAGCGGAAUGUGUCAUGUAGCGGUGAAAUGCUUAGAUAUGACAUAGAACACCCAUUGCGAAGGCAGCUAACUACGCGAAUAUUGACGCUGAGGCACGAAAGCGUGGGGAUCAAACAGG